GAAUCCUACGGGACGCAGCAGUGAGGAAUAUUGGUCAAUGGCCGGGAGGCUGAACCAGCCAAGUCGCGUGAGGGAAGACGGCCCUACGGGUUGUAAACCUCUUUUGUCAGGGAGCAAGGUGCAGGUCGGGACCUGCUGUGAGAGUACCUGAAGAAAAAGCAUCGGCUAACUACGUGCCAGCAGCCGCGGUAAUACGUAGGGAGCAAGCGUUAUCCGGAUUUACUGGGUGUAAAGGGCGCGUAGGCGGGAUGGCAAGUCAGAUGUGAAAUCCGGGGGCUCAACCCCUGAACUGCAUUUGAAACUGU
rnacentral:rRNA from 1 species